rnacentral:snoRNA from 1 species
ACGUCUCUUGCCUUGCUCGGUCUGCUGAUCCUAUAGCAUUGAUCUUGAGCUGGAUGCUGCUGGCUCGGAAACGGACAGUGAAAGUACGAGACAAGAAUAACAUUUGCCAAUUUUUGAGUACGGAUUCAUCGUCCAGAUGGUGAAAUCUGUAAUUAUAUGGCAUCACAUGC